rnacentral:rRNA from 1 species
AAACCAACCGGGAUUGCCUUAGUAACGGCGAGUGAAGCGGCAAAAGCUCAAAUUUGAAAUCUGGUACCUUCGGUGCCCGAGUUGUAAUUUGGAGAGGGCAACUUUGGGGCCGUUCCUUGUCUAUGUUCCUUGGAACAGGACGUCAUAGAGGGUGAGAAUCCCGUGUGGCGAGGAGUGCGGUUCUUUGUAAAGUGCCUUCGAAGAGUCGAGUUGUUUGGGAAUGCAGCUCUAAGUGGGUGGUAAAUUCCAUCUAAAGCUAAAUAUUGGCGAGAGACCGAUAGCGAACAAGUACAGUGAUGGAAGAUGAAAAGAACUUUGAAAAGAGAGUGAAAAAGUACGUGAAAUUGUUGAAAGGGAAGGGCAUUUGAUCAGACAUGGUGUUUUGUGCCCUCUGCUCCUUGUGGGUAGGGGAAUCUCGCAUUUCACUGGGCCAGCAUCAGUUUUGGUGGCAGGAUAAAUCCAUAGGAAUGUAGCUUGCCUCGGUAAGUAUUAUAGCCUGUGGGAAUACUGCCAGCUGGGACUGAGGACUGCGACGUAAGUCAAGGAUGCUGGCAUAAUGGUUAUAUGCCGC